rnacentral:rRNA from 1 species
ACACAUGCAAGUCGAGGGGAAACGACAUCGAAAGCUUGCUUUUGAUGGGCGUCGACCGGCGCACGGGUGAGUAACGCGUAUCCAACCUGCCCACCACUUGGGGAUAACCUUGCGAAAGUAAGACUAAUACCCAAUGACGUCUCUAGAAGACAUCUGAAAGAGAUUAAAGAUUUAUCGGUGAUGGAUGGGGAUGCGUCUGAUUAGCUUGUUGGCGGGGUAACGGCCCACCAAGGCGACGAUCAGUAGGGGUUCUGAGAGGAAGGUCCCCCACAUUGGAACUGAGACACGGUCCAAACUCCUACGGGAGGCAGCAGUGAGGAAUAUUGGUCAAUGGACGAGAGUCUGAACCAGCCAAGUAGCGUGCAGGAAGACGGCCCUAUGGGUUGUAAACUGCUUUUAUAAGGGAAUAAAGUGAGAGUCGUGACUCUUUUUGCAUGUACCUUAUGAAUAAGGACCGGCUAAUUCCGUGCCAGCAGCCGCGGUAAUACGGAAGGUCCGGGCGUUACCCGGAUUUAUUGGGUUUAAAGGGAGCGUAGGCCGGAGAUUAAGCGUGUUGUGAAAUGUAGAUGCUCAACAUCUGAACUGCAGCGCGAACUGGUUUCCUUGAGUACGCACAAAGUGGGCGGAAUUCGUGGUGUAGCGGUGAAAUGCUUAGAUAUCACGAAGAACUCCGAUUGCGAAGGCAGCUCACUGGAGCGCAACUGACGCUGAAGCUCGAAAGUGCGGGUAUCGAACAGGAUUAGAUACCCUGGUAGUCCGCACGGUAAACGAUGGAUGCCCGCUGUUGGUCUGAAUAGGUCAGCGGCCAAGCGAAAGCAUUAAGCAUCCCACCUGGGGAGUACGCC